GCUGGGUGUGGUGGCUCACACCUGUAAUCCCAACUACUCAGGAGGCUGAGGCAGGAGGAUUGCUUGAGCCCAGGAGUUUGAGACCAGCCUGGGCAACAUAGCAAGACCCCAUCUCAA
rnacentral:SRP_RNA from 1 species